CAGGUACUCCCUCUGUCCGGAAAUAUUUGUCCUCGAAAUGGUUGUAUCUAGACUUAUUUUAGUUAUAGAAAUAGAUUUAUUUUAUUCAUUUUAAGGACAAGUAUUUUCAGACGGAAGGAGUACGGG
rnacentral:pre_miRNA from 1 species